ACAGGAUAAAGCAAGCUUUAAUUCAUGAAUAAACCAUUGUCUAGAAAAACUCUUACUUACUUUAGAAGGAGAACCAUCAGUUAUUUUCACCAACUGCCAUAGAAUUGAGUAAUGGGAACACUGAAGUGCCUGAACUACUAUCUGUAACAAAAAGGAAAAAAGGAGAAAACAGAUGAUAAAUGACUUAAGAUCACAGAUAAAAUUUGAAUCAAGAUCUUCCAACUCCAUAUCCAUUGUUCUCGACACUGAAUUUCAAGAGGCCACCAAAUCUAAAGCUUUUCUGCACAAGAAUGUAUUGAGAUCAACAAAUGAUCAUCCAACUACUGCUUAAACAAUUCCAUUAAAGUGAAACUAUUUCAGAGGGUGAUACCUGUGUUACACGAUAAAUUUCAAAGAACUUAACACCAAACCCAUAAAGAGAAUACCAACACCACUUAUUUAUUGGAAGGCUGUCAUUUUUAAAAUAAUUAUGUAAAGGCAAGGAAAAAAAGGUAACAAUGAAAGAAGAAAAGAAAGAUAUGUAAUACUGCUAGAAUGUGAAGGUGAAUUAAUUUUUCAUAACUUCAUCUUUAGUGUUGAUCUGCACAUGCAUCUAAGAUCACAAGUCCUUCCCUAGGCUAAUUGCUUUUAAAGGUUCCAAGAUCCACAAGGUGCAGCACUGGUUCCAUGAGUGGGGAUCUAUGGAGGCAAUUUUAUAAAGAACGGGUGUUUUUGUUUCCACUGGGUUGAAAUGGUUGAUAAAUUACAUUAAGUUAAUGACAUCAAAAAUUUGUUAAUUGUGUUGGUUAAAACACAUUGGUUAAUAAGUUGGUUAAAAUAUUUCUUUUAAAUAUUUUUACCUCACU